AGCAGCAUUCAUAGGGUUUCAAGGUUUCAGAUGUCUUUAGCAUUCGAAGGGUUUUGAAUGUUUUAGGAUCAUCCGAUGCUCUCCUCCCCUGUACAAUUGUUCUAUGAUGGUCAAAAGAUUCAAACCACACCGGAAGUGGUAGGUUGUGCACUGCGCCACCGUUGCAGCUAUUUAACAGGCAGCCUUUGCUGGGGUCUUGAAGAUUCGUCAAGACAACCUUCACUUAUGCCCUCUCUCUUCCACAGUUCACAUGAACAUGAGUUGAUUAGACACCAAACCACAUUCGUACGGAAAUCCAGACUUCUAAAGUCAAGGCCGGAAGAUUAGGGUUAAUUACGAAUUUAAGAAGCUUUAAAUUAUGAUAUACGGAUUAGUAAAAUGGCGGAAUUGGGUUCCCUCAGAGCGGUGGUCGGAGGUCGAAUUUAGGAGGUUGCAGAGCUAUGGUUGAACAGACUAUACAGGGAGCUUCGGCGGCUUAUGCCAAAGCAAUGGAGAGGCUUUCUGCCGAGGAAUCUCUACUUCUGGCUGUUCCCUUCCGGACACGGAGCCAUAGGAAUGUAGGGGAAGGAAGGAUGUAGUGGAAUGGGCAUCCUCUUGCUGCUCGGAAGAUUUGAUCCAGAAGUGAGGAAGAUGCAGUUUAUCUGGGUAAUCAACACUUUAUUAAUAAGGUCCCGAGACAUGUAGAGAAGAUGAUUUAUGCGAUACAGAGGCGGUUAACUUUGCAAAUACGUAGUGAGGAACAAUGAAUUUGCUUUUGCGACUUGC